rnacentral:misc_RNA from 1 species
AACGAGGCCGACCUGCGGCUGAGUUACCUGCGGAGGGAUCAUUACCGAGUGAGGGCCCUCCGGGUCCAACCUCCCACCCGUGUUUAACGAACCUUGUUGCUUCGGCGGGCCCGCCUCACGGCCGCCGGGGGGCACCCCGCCCCCGGGCCCGCGCCCGCCGAAGACACCUGUGAACGCUGUCUGAAGUUGCAGUCUGAGACACUAGCUCAAUCAGUUAAAACUUUUAGCAAUGGAUCUCAG